GACGAAGGGGGCUAGCGUUGUUCGGAAUUACUGGGCGUAAAGCGCGUGUAGGCGGUUGCCCAAGUCGGGUGUGAAAGCCUUGAGCUCAACUCAAGAAAUGCACUCGGUACUGGGUGACUAGAGGACCGGAGAGGAUAGUGGAAUUCCCAGUGUAGUGGUGAAAUUCGUAGAUAUUCGCAAGAACACCAGUGGCGAAGGCGGCUCACUGGCCCGGUACUGACGCUGAGGUGCGAAAGCGUGGGGAGCAAACAGG
rnacentral:rRNA from 1 species